GUAUGGGGGCUGUGGUGGUUGCUGGCGUGCUGUGGAAUAGAGGGGGGGACAUCAGAAUUACUAAGGCACCUCAGAUGGGAUUUGGCAGGUUGCUGCAGCUUGGUGUCAGUGUGGAGGUGCUGUGCAAGUCUGCUGUGAGCUGAGUUCACCCAGACAUGCACAAUUACGGCAUCCAGAAGCAAAUUACAAGUUUUAAACUGUUCUUUACAGUUUGGAAAGCUGAAAUUAUAGGGCCAGGAGAAGAGUGCCAUAAGGAUGAGAAGUAACUAGAAGAAAUGGAAUAGGUCUUAAAGCUUUGUCAUCUUCCGGAAGGUUGCCAGUGAUGUACAGAUUGGAGAGAAGGCAAAUGAGCCAUGAACAGUGCAGUGGUACACAGCAGCCUGCAUCGCCUGGCGGUCUGGUUGCUGUUAAACAGCAUGGGUGUACCGCAGCCAAGUUCAAAUCCAGACAUCCAAGGAGAUGGGGCUCUGAGCAUCCUUUGGGAGAGAGACAGCCCUUCCUCCCAGGAAACUGUGGCAGAUGGGAAAAGAGGUGGAGGCCCCCACCGAACGUGAGCAGUUAGCCCAGCCCUUCUGCCAAGUGAUUAAAGGCAGGGGAAUACUGAGUGGGAGUGAGCAGGAUGUGUUACCUCUGCGUCUGGCCAAGUGAGUCCAUUUCUGGUGUCAGCAAUUCAAAAAGGAUAUUGAGGAACUGGAGGGGAUUCAAGGGAGAGAUACCAGGAUGAGAAAGAAAUAGAAAAUGUGAGGAAGACCCAAGGAGGG
ensembl:lncRNA